GACGAACGCUGGCGGCGUGCUUAACACAUGCAAGUCGAACGAUGAAGCCUAGCUUGCUAGGUGGAUUAGUGGCGAACGGGUGAGUAAUACGUGAGUAACCUACCUUUAACUCUGGGAUAAGCCUGGGAAACUGGGUCUAAUACCGGAUACGACCAAUCUCCGCAUGGGGUGUUGGUGGAAAGCGUUAUGUAGUGGUUAUAGAUGGGCUCACGGCCUAUCAGCUUGUUGGUGAGGUAACGGCUCACCAAGGCGACGACGGGUAGCCGGCCUGAGAGGGUGACCGGCCACACUGGGACUGAGACACGGCCCAGACUCCUACGGGAGGCAGCAGUGGGGAAUAUUGCACAAUGGGCGCAAGCCUGAUGCAGCGACGCCGCGUGAGGGAUGACGGCCUUCGGGUUGUAAACCUCUGUUAGCAGGGAAGAAGAGAAAUUGACGGUACCUGCAGAGAAAGCGCCGGCUAACUACGUGCCAGCAGCCGCGGUAAUACGUAGGGUGCAAGCGUUAAUCGGAAUUACUGGGCGUAAAGCGUGCGCAGGCGGUUUUGUAAGUCUGACGUGAAAGCCCCGGGCUCAACCUGGGAAUUGCGUUGGAGACUGCAAGGCUUGAAUCUGGCAGAGGGGGGUAGAAUUCCACGUGUAGCAGUGAAAUGCGUAGAGAUGUGGAGGAACACCGAUGGCGAAGGCAGCCCCCUGGGUCAAGAUUGACGCUCAUGCACGAAAGCGUGGGGAGCAAAACAAG
rnacentral:rRNA from 1 species